ACACGACUACAUUAGAUACCCCUGUAGUCCCAGCCCUAAACGAUGCGCGUUAGGUGUAUCGGUGACCACGAGUCACCGAGGUGCCGAAGGGAAACCGUGAAACGUGCCGCCUGGGAAGUACGGUCGCAAGGCUGAAACUUAAAGGAAUUGGCGGGGGAGCACCGCAACGGGAGGAGCGUGCGGUUCAAUUGGAUUCAACGCCGGACAACUCACCAGGAGCGACGGUUACAUGAAGGCCAGGCUGAUGACCUUGCCUGAUUUUCCG
rnacentral:rRNA from 1 species